GUUUGUUAAGGUCAUGUCAAUUGCCACCAAAACCUCGCCGACAUGUCCACCAAGUUUAUAAAGGUUAAACAUGAGGUAAGAUUUUUUGUUUUUGUCACCCAGAAAUUAAUAUGUCGGAUCAGGUUUUGAUUUAUUAUAUUUGGGGCUGUUUUUCUCACAGCUGGAACUGGGGGUUUGUCAAGGUUCGGGACCUUGUGUACUGUUCCAAAGCUGAAAACUUUCAGCAUGACAAUGUCCCCCAAA